UACGUAGGGUGCAAGCGUUGUCCGGAAUUACUGGGCGUAAAGGGCUCGUAGGCGGCCAACUAAGUCAGACGUGAAAUCCCUCGGCUUAACCGGGGAACUGCGUCUGAUACUGGAUGGCUUGAGUUUGGGAGAGGGAUGCGGAAUUCCAGGUGUAGCGGUGAAAUGCGUAGAUAUCUGGAGGAACACCGGUGGCGAAGGCGGCAUCCUGGACCAAUUCUGACGCUGAGUGAGCGAAAGCCAGGGGAGCAAACGGG
rnacentral:rRNA from 1 species